UGAUCCUACGGAGGGCAGCAGUAGGGAAUAUUGCUCAAUGGGGGCAACCCUGACCGAGCAACGCCGCGUGAGUGAAGAAGGUUUUCGGAUCGUAAAGCUCUGUUGUAAGAGAAGAACGUGUGUGAGAGUGGAAAGUUCACACAGUGACGGUAACUUACCAGAAAGGGACGGUUAACUACGUGCCAGCAGCCGCGGUAAUACGUAGGUCCCGAGCGUUAUCCGGAUUUAUUGGGCGUAAAGCGAGCGCAGGCGGUUGGAUAAGUCUGAAGUUAAAGGCUGUGGCUUAACCAUAG
rnacentral:rRNA from 1 species